UAAUAAAAAUUUCAUUCAUUCAUACUAUUAAAAAUUGGCGUGAAUAACAAAAUAACUAAAGACAAGGACAUUUGGUAUGCCAUAUGUAUUUCAUGUUAGCAUACGAGAUCAAUUUUUAAUAGUAGAAAUAAAUAAAAUUUGUAAUA
rfam:Gossypium raimondii Chr12_contig_191, whole genome shotgun sequence.